AUUGAACGCUGGCGGAAUGCUUUACACAUGCAAGUCGAACGGUAGAGGGGGCAACCCCUCGAGAGUGGCGAACGGGUGAGUAAUAUAUCGGAACGUGCCCAGUCGUGGGGGAUAACGUAGCGAAAGUUACGCUAAUACCGCAUACGAUCUAAGGAUGAAAGCGGGGGAUCGCAAGACCUCGCGCGAUUGGAGCGGCCGAUAUCAGAUUAGGUAGUUGGUGGGGUAAAGGCUCACCAAGCCAACGAUCUGUAGCUGGUCUGAGAGGACGACCAGCCACACUGGAACUGUGACACGGUCCAGACUCCGACGGGAGGCAGCAGUGGGGAAUUUUGGACAAUGGACGCAAGUCUGAUCCAGCCAUUCCGCGUGCAGGAUGAAGGCCCUCGGGUUGUAAACUGCUUUUGUACGGAACGAAAAGGUCUCUCUUAAUACGGGGGACUCAUGACGGUACCGUAAGAAUAAGCACCGGCUAACUACGUUCCAGCCGCCGCAGUAA
rnacentral:rRNA from 1 species